GCCUUCGUGGUGUAAUGGUCAGCACACUGAGCCGGUAAUUCAGAGGUCCGCGGUUCGAUCCCCGGCGAAGGCA
rfam:Stegodyphus mimosarum contig56208, whole genome shotgun sequence.